rnacentral:lncRNA from 1 species
GUUGAUUUUUAAGCUUGUUGUUUGAUGACUGGUGAAUGAUGAUGAGUGAUUGUUAAGCUGUUUUGAUUUGAGUGAUUGUUAAGUUGUUUUGAUUGUUAAGUGAUUAUAUAAAUAAGUUGUUUUGAUGGUUAAGUUGUUUGACUGAUUCAGAUUGUGUAUUUUAAGCUUUGAGUUUUUGAUUUUGAGUUACCGCAUAAUUAGUAGUUUUGAGUUACUGCAUAAUUAGUAGUUUUUUAUUGUUAAGUGAUUAUUGUUGGCUCUUUUGUUCUUCUAUUGCAUAAUUAGUAGUUUUGAGUUGAUGCAUAAUUAGUAGUUUUUGAUUGUUAAGUAAUUAUUGUUGGCUCUUUUGUUCUACUACAUAAGAAUAAGG